rnacentral:rRNA from 1 species
AACGAACGCUGGCGGCAGGCUUAACACAUGCAAGUCGAACGCCCCGCAAGGGGAGUGGCAGACGGGUGAGUAACACGUGGGAACGUGCCCUAAGGUUUGGAAUAUUCCCGGGAAACUGGGAGCAAUACCAAAUGUGUCCGCAAGGAGAAAGAUUUAUCGCCUUAGGAUCGGCCCGCGUCAGAUUAGGUAGUUGGUGGGGUAAUGGCCUACCAAGCCGACGAUCUGUAGCUGGUCUGAGAGGACGACCAGCCACACUGGGACUGAGACACGGCCCAGACUCCUACGGGAGGCAGCAGUGGGGAAUCUUGGACAAUGGGCGAAGGCCUGAUCCAGCCAUGCCGCGUGGAUGAUGAAGGCCCUAGGGUUGUAAAAUCCUUUCGUUGGGGACGAUAAUGACGGUACCCAAAGAAGAAGCUCCGGCUAACUUCGUGCCAGCCGCCGCCGUAAUAC